AGCGCAGGCGGAAAAAUAAGUCUAAUGUGAAAGCCCUCGGCUUAACCGAGGAACUGCAUCGGAAACUGUUUUUCUUGAGUGCAGAAGAGGAGAGUGGAACUCCAUGUGUAGCGGUGGAAUGCGUAGAUAUAUGGAAGAACACCAGUGGCGAAGGCGGCUCUCUGGUCUGCAACUGACGCUGAGGCUCGAAAGCAUGGGUAGCGAACAGGAUUAGAUACCCUGGUAGUCCAUGCCGUAAACGAUGAGUGCUAAGUGUUGGGAGGUUUCCGCCUCUCAGUGCUGCAGCUAACGCAUUAAGCACUCCGCCUGGGGAGUACGACCGCAAGGUUGAAACUCAAAGGAAUUGACGGGGGCCCGCACAAGCGGUGGAGCAUGUGGUUUAAUUCGAAGCAACGCGAAGAACCUUACCAGGUCUUGACAUCUAGUGCAAUCUGUAGAGAUACGGAGUUCCCUUCGGGGACGCUAAGACAGGUGGUGCAUGGCUGUCGUCAGCUCGUGUCGUGAGAUGUUGGGUUAAGUCCCGCAACGAGCGCAACCCUUGUUAUUAGUUGCCAGCAUUAAGUUGGGCACUCUAAUGAGACUGCCGGUGACAAACCGGAGGAAGGUGGGGAUGACGUCAAGUCAUCAUGCCCCUUAUGACCUGGGCUACACACGUGCUACAAUGGGCAGUACAACGAGAAGCAAGCCUGCGAAGGCAAGCGAAUCUCUGAAAGCUGUUCUCAGUUCGGACUGCAGUCUGCAACUCGACUGCACGAAGCUGGAAUCGCUA
rnacentral:rRNA from 1 species